GAUGAAGAACGCAGCGAAAUGCGAUAAGUAAUGUGAAUUGCAGAAUUCAGUGAAUCAUCGAAUCUUUGAACGCACAUUGCGCCCCCUGGUAUUCCGGGGGGCAUGCCUGUCCGAGCGUCAUUACAACCCUCAAGCUCAGCUUGGUAUUGGGCCCCGCCGCUCCGGCGGGCCCUAAAGUCAGUGGCGGUGCCGUCCGGCUCCGAGCGUAGUAAUUCUUCUCGCUCUGGAGGUCCGGUCGUGUGCUCGCCAGCAACCCCCAAUUUUUUUCAGGUUGACCUCGGAUCAGGUAGGGAUACCCGCUGAACUUAAGCAUAUCAAAAAGCGGAGGA
rnacentral:misc_RNA from 1 species